GACGAACGCUGGCGGCGUGCUUAACACAUGCAAGUCGAACGGUAAGGCCCUUCGGGGUACACGAGCGGCGAACGGGUGAGUAACACGUGGGUGAUUUGCCCUGCACUUCGGGAUAAGCCUGGGAAACUGGGUCUAAUACCGGAUAGGACCAUUGCCUGCAUGGGUGGUGGUGGAAAGCUUUUGCGGUGUGGGAUGGGCCCGCGGCCUAUCAGCUUGUUGGUGGGGUGAUGGCCUACCAAGGCGACGACGGGUAGCCGGCCUGAGAGGGUGACCGGCCACACUGGGACUGAGAUACGGCCCAGACUCCUACGGGAGGCAGCAGUGGGGAAUAUUGCACAAUGGGCGCAAGCCUGAUGCAGCGACGCCGCGUGAGGGAUGGCGGCCUUCGGGUUGUAAACCUCUUUCAGCACCGACGAAGCGCAAGUGACGGUAGGUGCAGAAGAAGGACCGGCCAACUACGUGCCAGCAGCCGCAGUAA
rnacentral:rRNA from 1 species